rnacentral:rRNA from 1 species
UACAGAGGUCUCAAGCGUUGUUCGGAUUCAUUGGGCGUAAAGGGUGCGUAGGCGGCGCGGUAAGUCGGGUGUGAAAUCUCGGAGCUUAACUCCGAAACUGCAUUCGAUACUGCCGUGCUUGAGGACUGGAGAGGAGACUGGAAUUUACGGUGUAGCGGUGAAAUGCGUAGAUAUCGUAAGGAAGACCAGUGGCGAAGGCGGGUCUCUGG